rnacentral:lncRNA from 1 species
GGCCCGCAGCGCCACACUGGAACGCCUCGCUUAAAGUAACAGGCUCCCGGGUGACAACCCCUCGCAGAAGUGUUCUAGAGUUGCUCUUCUACAAAUGCUCCAUCUCCGAUUGUAGUUUGUCUCAGUGGCCACGGGUAGAAUAUCAAGCCAUACGUGAAGCGAAAAAAGAAGAAGAAGAAGAAGAAAGAAAAAAAAAAGAGUUACUAGCUUCCUCUAGAAACACAGACAACCUUUAAAAAGGAAACGGAUAAGAUCUAGACGAUAUACGAAAAUGAAAGAUGGGUGUGACUUUUGUUUCGUUAAAGUUCUUGUACCUCUCUGGCUCUUAACUCCUUUUUUGAACUGGUUUGGGGUGGUGGCUGUUUUCCAGAGUUUAUCUUUUGUUCACCAUCUUUUUUUCUCCAGAUUGCCAACUUCUUUUCUCCCUGUGUUUUUUGUCUCUCUUCCUCUUUCUGACUCAACUUUAUUGCUUUCUUCUUUUCCUCUCGCCGGGAGACCAUGAAAGCACAACUCGGCCCUUGCAUUGAACACUUGAGAAUAACGGGAAGGAGGUUUCCUGGAGCGUCCCAGGUUCUCCAUGACCACGUUCAGUUUUUCCCACUGCUCACAAAGUAGAUGAUGGGGAUUAGACAGGACC